CUGUAUUUUGAUUCUGCACAUGAACACAACAUAGAGUAAGUCCAGGAAUGGCCUGAAUCCAUGACAGAAUGGUACAAAAGACAUAAUAUAAGAGUAGGGGUUUAGUAUGGGAACAUUUUAAUUACAAAGGAAUAUGACAUUGAUAUCAGUGUACAUAUUACAGAAUUAACAAUGUCACACCACUCACCAUGCAGCACUCUGCCAUUUAACUAUUUGGUAUUGUUACUGUCAUUACCAACACACAAUUGUAUACAUCCAAGUGUGGUGGGAGACCUGUUGGAGCAUUACCGGUGUAAUGGUGUUGAAGAAGGUGAUUUUUACCUUUUAACUCACCAACAGGGUGCAUUGGAUUUGUGCUUGGCUGUUCUUUUACGAACGACCACAACCAACUGUCACACAUGGUUGAUCAGGAUGGGACUUGUGAGAAGCAAAAUCAUGUCAUUCAGUCCGCAAUCAACAUUGGUUUUUCAGAAAACCAGAGGUUUUAGCAGAAUAAUGGGUUGAUACCCUAUCUUGUUGCAAAGUUACACUGUUUAGAACACCCACAUUAUCAUUUUCUGGAAUUAGUCAAUGGAACAACAGCUCCAGACAGUUUUCACUAGUCACACACAUCAAAGAAGUGUCCAAUAUCAAUUCACUGGUGACUCCAGCCCACAUCAUAACAUGAUGUGGACGCUGUGCUACUUCAUCAAGAUAUGUGGAUUUGUUUAGCCCAGAUUGCCAGGGUCAUGAAAACUACGUACCUAAUUGCUUUGUGCAGGAUCUUCUUUAAGCAAUUUAUAACCAUUUAACUGAUAGAGAAAUUGUCUCUUUGUUACAGAACCCGAAGAUUUAUUACUGCAUUUACAAAUAGCUUUACUGUAUCACAUACAGAACUUCAUCUGUAACAUAGUCUUCUUUGUAUUUUCUUGAAUGCUGUAUGUCCCUAGAGUUUUUGCUUUCCCACUUACUUUAAAACAUUUUCCUUCACACUGUGUUUUUAAAUACUUACAAUUUUAAGGAGUUCAGAUGCCUGGUAGUGUCAUCAGAACCAAAACUAUGACCAGCUAACCAUUAGGCCGUAAAAGAAUUCUGUCCCUCUUAACUUUCUAAUGGACAAAUCUAAAAAAAUAUUGUUACUGUUCUUACACUGUAUCAUAUGCAGUAUGACCACACAAGACAUACUGGUUCUUUAUUCUUUUGCUACAGAUGAAUUCUCUCCCUGUACAGGAUAUCUGAACUGAGUUACAUGACCCACUCACUCACUCACUUAUGUAACUAGCGUAUUUGCAGUUGUUGUGGUGUUGGAAGAAAUACAGGUGAAAAUAAAUGUCAUUAACAGUGAGUGGUUAAAUCAUUGUUAUUCUAUACAUAAGCAUACUAAAUUCAGUUUACCUUCUCCCGUAAUAGUAUUUGAUGUUUCCCCAGCCAUUUCGUGAAACUUUCUACUUUUCCCCUUCAUCUCCAUCAUGUGCUCUUCUCUAGGCUUACGUUGAGUUUCUGCACUUUUCCUGUGGACAUUACAUACCUUAUUUAAUAUAUAUAUUUAUAAGUAUCUUAAUUAUACUAACUAAACCAAACUUAGUAGCUUCUAAUUAACUACUGGCAGAGUGUAAUACUUUUAGAAGUGCUAACGAAAUACUGAUGAAGGGGGAAGGGGGUCAUGAAAAUGUUGAAAAUUGAGUGUAUACAUUGUACAAGACAAUUAUACAAAUUUGAGCUAAGAAUGAAUAAAGUUAGCAAUAAUAGACGAAAGUAAUGUAAACUAAGAAAAAUGAUUAGUGGCUACUGAGUGUAUUUUCUUCACUGCACCAGUUCUGUGUGACAAUUUUUUUUGUUGUGAAAAUACCUAUCAUGGAGUCUCAGAAGUUCAGACUGUUUUCUAAGUAUUGAAUAAUUUUCUUCUCAGGUGUCAUUAAUGAUAACUUUGUGAGAUUCUCUUGAGUCUGUGUUCUGUGUGGGUAAAUAUAAUCCAUCUUCAAAGCACAGAAUGACCACUUGACAGACACACUGGUUGUUGCGACAGUUAGUAACACAGCAGGUAAUUUUGUGACUUGUGGUAAUGUGGUACUUGGGAGAUGUGAGUGUAAGUAGGAUGAUGAUAUUAAAUAGAUUUUUUGAGAA